AGUGAACGCUGGCGGUAGGCCUAACACAUGCAAGUCGAACGGCAGCACAGUAAGAGCUUGCUCUUACGGGUGGCGAGUGGCGGACGGGUGAGGAAUACAUCGGAAUCUACUUUUUCGUGGGGGAUAACGUAGGGAAACUUACGCUAAUACCGCAUACGACCUACGGGUGAAAGCAGGGGAUCUUCGGACCUUGCGCGAUUGAAUGAGUCGAUGUCGGAUUAGCUAGUUGGCGGGGUAAAGGCCCACCAAGGCGACGAUCCGUAGCUGGUCUGAGAGGAUGAUCGGCCACACUGGAACUUAGACACGGUCCAGACUCCUACGGGAGGCAGCAGUGGGGAAUAUUGGACAAUGGGCGCAAGCCUGAUCCAGCCAUACCGCGUGGGUGAAGAAGGCCUUCGGGUUGUAAAGCCCUUUUGUUGGGAAAGAAAAUCAGCAGGUUAAUACCCCGCUGUUCUGACGGUACCCAAAGAAUAAGCACCGGCUAACUUCGUG
rnacentral:rRNA from 1 species